rnacentral:lncRNA from 1 species
AUAGACAACUGUGUCCAUCUCGUGUUGUGCAAUUGAUUGGCCCUGCCUAUGAACCUCAUGGGUGUGCUUUGUUGGAUGCCAAGGAGUUGGAAAGAUUGGGAUCAACCCUUACUAAGAUAAUGUGUUUAAGAAGUUGGCGUUGUUUACUCCGACCACCCUCAUACUUGAUUUUUUUUCUUGGAGUGAUCUUUAGAAUCUUCCUAAAUUUCAUCGCAUGCCAUACAUGGUUUUAAGUGAUAUUUGACUUCGUUGCAUCUCCAAAUGCCUUCUAUUCCUACUUCCCAUCAUAACCUUGCAAUACUCCCCGUAUGAUCACUACUAUAUUAUAUUCGGUACUACUCCUCAAGGGAUGGAGUGAUGAGGUGAU